ACCUGACAUCGGUUUCUUCUUCUCCGGGAACCAUUCUUCUCAAACUGGCUCGCCUGAUAUCCCGCCGGCGACUCGGCUGCUCCCGGCGGGGGCCACCGACGAUGAUCCCGUGGCGCUGGGUGCUGGAUUUGGUGCCUCCGCUGCGUUUGAAAUGGAGGCUGUUGGUGGCUCUGGAAACGCUCUGUUUUCGGGCAGGGGAAAGGGAUUGGAAGCUUUGGUAGUGAGUAAUUUGAAGAGGGUGCAGGAAGUUGAAGAAGCUAGCAAUGAGGGUUCAAUGUGGAAUUCUGAAGAGGAUGAUGAGAGAACUGAUGAGGUGGUGGUUGAGGAGAGUGGGAAGAAGAAGAAGAAGAAGAAGGGGAUGCCGUCCAAAAAUCUUAUGGCGGAGAGGCGGCGAAGGAAGAAGCUCAAUGAUAGGUUGUACAUGCUUAGGUCUGUUGAUUAGAUGGACAGAGUUUCGAUACUUGGAGAUGCAAUUGACUACAUGAAGGAGCUACAGCAGCGGGUCAAUGAUCUUCAAAAUGAACUGGAGUCAACUCCAACUAGCUGUUCGCCAUCAUCUUCCACCAGCAUUCAACCUUUGACACCCACACUGCAAACCCUUUCUUGCCGGGUGAAGGAAGAACUGUGUCCGAUGCCAAUCCCAGGAAACCAAACAGCAAAGGUGGAAGUUAAGGUAAGGGACGGUAAAGCUAUCAAUAUUCACAUGUUUUGUAGCCGCCGACCAGGUCUUCUGGUCUCUACAAUGCAGGCUCUGGAUAACCUCGGAUUAGAUGUUCACCAAGCUGUUAUUAGCUGCUUCAAUGGUUUUGCUUUAGACAUCUUUAAAGCUGAGCAAUGCAGAGAAGGGCAAGAUGUGCUUCCUGAGGAAAUCAAAGCAGUUCUGCUGGAUUCAGCAGGUAUCCAUGAUAUGAUGUGAUUCAAGUUCUUAAUUGGUAAAUGGAAUUAGAGAAAUACUAACAGUGAUUGCUGUUGUAACUUGCAAGCAGGAUCCAAAUAAAGCAUUACUGGGAAGAUCAAAUAGCAAAUUAGCAUAAUUUGAAGGUUGAAGAGUUGUCUUGUGAUAUCUUGUCAUGAUUUUAGCAAAGCAAAUGAUGUCACAUUGUUUUUUUUAA